GACGAACGCUGGCGGCGUGCCUAAUACAUGCAAGUAGAACGCUGAAGGAGGAGCUUGCUUCUCUGGAUGAGUUGCGAACGGGUGAGUAACGCGUAGGUAACCUGCCUGGUAGCGGGGGAUAACUAUUGGAAACGAUAGCUAAUACCGCAUAAUAGUAGAUGUUGCAUGACAUUUGCUUAAAAGGUGCAAUUGCAUCACUACCAGAUGGACCUGCGUUGUAUUAGCUAGUUGGUGGGGUAACGGCUCACCAAGGCGACGAUACAUAGCCGACCCGAGAGGGUGAUCGGCCACACUGGGACUGAGACACGGCCCAGACUCCUACGGGAGGCAGCAGUAGGGAAUCUUCGGCAAUGGACGGAAGUCUGACCGAGCAACGCCGCGUGAGUGAAGAAGGGUUUCGGAUCGUAAAGCUCUGUUGUAAGAGAAGAACGAGUGUGAGAGUGGAAAGUUCACACUGUGACGGUAUCUUACCAGAAAGGGACGGCUAACUACGUG
rnacentral:rRNA from 1 species